ACGAACGCUGGCGGCAUGCCUAACACAUGCAAGUCGAACGAGACCUUCGGGUCUAGUGGCGCACGGGUGCGUAACGCGUGGGAACCUGCCCUUAGGUUCGGAAUAACUCCCCGAAAGGGGUGCUAAUACCGGAUAAUGUCUUCGGACCAAAGAUUUAUCGCCUUUGGAUGGGCCCGCGUUGGAUUAGCUAGUUGGUAGGGUAAAAGCCUACCAAGGCGACGAUCCAUAGCUGGUCUGGGAGGAUGAUCAGCCACACUGGGACUGAGACACGGCCCAGACUCCUACGGGAGGCAGCAGUGGGGAAUAUUGGACAAUGGGCGAAAGCCUGAUCCAGCAAUGCCGCGUGAGUGAUGAAGGCCUUAGGGUUGUAAAGCUCUUUUACCCGGGAUGAUAAUGACAGUACCGGGAGAAUAAGCUCCGGCUAACUCCGUG
rnacentral:rRNA from 1 species